CAGCCGCGGUAAAACCAGCUCUUCAGUGGUCGGGAUAAUUAUUGGGCUUAAAGUGUCCGUAGCCGGUUUAGUAAGUUCCUGGUAAAACCGGGCAGCUUAACUGUCCGUAUGCUAGGAAUACUGCUAUGCUAGAGGGCGGGAGAGGUCUGAGGUACUACAGGGGUAGGGGUGAAAUCUUAUAAUCCUUGUAGGACCACCAGUGGCGAAAGCGUCAGACUGGAACGCGCCUGACGGUGAGGGACGAAAGCCAGGGGAGCGAACCGGAUUAGAUACCCGGGUAGUCCUGGCCGUAAACGAUGCAUACUAGGCAAUGGUGCGGCCAUGAGCCGCAUCAGUACCGUAGGGAAACCGUUAAGUGUGCCGCCUGGGAAGUACGGUCGCAAGGCUAAAACUUAAAGGAAUUGGCGGGGGAGCACCACAAGGGGUGAAGCCUGCGGUUCAAUUGGACUCAACGCCGGGAAACUUACCAGGGGAGACAGCAGAAUGACAGUCAGGUUGACGACCUUACUCGACGAGCUGAGAGGAGGUGCAUGGCCGUCGCCAGUUCGUGCUGUGAGGUAUCCUGUUAAGUCAGGCAACGAACGAGAUCCGCGCCUUUAUUUGCCAUCAAGAAGUCACGACUUCGUUGGGAACACUAAAGGGACCGCCGUCGAUAAGACGGAGGAAGGAGCGGGCAAAGGCAGGUCAGUAUGCCCCGAAACCCCUGGGCUACACGCGGGCUGCAAUGGUGCGAACAAUGGGCUGUAACUCCGAAAGGAGAAACCAAUCCCGAAAUCGCAUCUCAGUGGGGAUUGUCGACUGUAACUCGUUGACAUGAACGUGGAAUCCCUAGUAAUCGCGUGUCACCAUCGCGCGGUGAAUACGUCUCUGCUCCUUGCACUCACCGCC
rnacentral:rRNA from 1 species